GCACGGGCCACUGUCGGAAGUCAGGAUACUGGGUUAGAUGGACCCAAUAUCGGUUUGACCCAGUAUAGUCAUUCUUAUGCAACUCCUAAAAUGAAUUACCUACCACAUACAGAAACUGUUGCCAUACUGUACUCUAGGCCUAAAGAAGUCCACUAAAAAGCUUCAUCAAGAAACAGCAACAUUACUUUGGGG